GGGUAUAUGUGUGGUGUUCAGCACCAAGGACAGGUAUGUUCGCUGAUGUGUACGUGUGGUGUUCAGCACCAAGGACAGGUAUGUUUGGCG
rfam:Branchiostoma floridae genomic scaffold BRAFLscaffold_246, whole genome shotgun sequence.